AUUGAACGCUGGCGGCAGGCCUAACACAUGCAAGUCGAACGAGUGGCGGACGGGUGAGUAAUGUCUGGGAAACUGCCCGAUGGAGGGGGAUACCUACUGGAAACGGUACCUAAUACCGCAUACCAUCGGAUGUGCCCAGAUGGGAUUAGCUAGUGGGUGGGGUAACGGCUCACCUAGGCGACGAUCCCUAGCUGGUCUGAGAGGAUGACCAGUCACACGGGAACUGAGACACGGACCAGACUCCGACGGGAGGCAGCAUUGGGGAAUAUUGCACAAUGGGCGCAAGCCUAAUGCAGCCAUGCCGCGUGUAUGAAGAAGGCCUUCGGGGUGUAAAGUACUUUCAGCGAGGAGGCGUUACUCGCAGAAGAAGCACCGGCUAACUCCGUGCCAGCAGCCGCGGUAAUAC
rnacentral:rRNA from 1 species